rnacentral:rRNA from 1 species
GACGAACGCUGGCGGCGUGCUUAACACAUGCAAGUCGAACGGAAAGGCCCUGCUUUUGUGGGGUGCUCGAGUGGCGAACGGGUGAGUAACACGUGAGUAACCUGCCCUUGACUUUGGGAUAACUUCAGGAAACUGGGGCUAAUAUCGGAUAGGAGCUCCUGCUGCAUGGUGGGGGUUGGAAAGUUUCGGCGGUUGGGGAUGGACUCGCGGCUGAUCAGCUUGUUGGUGGGGGAGUGGCUUACCAAGGCUUUGACGGGUAGCCGGCCUGUGAGGGUGACCGGCCACAUUGGGACUGAGAUACGGCCCAGACUCCUACGGGAGGCAGCAGUGGGGAAUAUUGCACAAUGGGCGGAAGCGUGAUGCAGCGACGCCGCGUGCGGGAUGACGGCCUUCGGGUUGUAAACCGCUUUCGCCUGUGACGAAGCGUGAGUGACGGUAAUGGGUAAAGAAGCACCGGCUAACUACGUG